rnacentral:rRNA from 1 species
UGGGGAAUAUUGGACAAUGGGGGCAACCCUGAUCCAGCAAUGCCGCGUGUGUGAAGAAGGCCUUCGGGUUGUAAAGCACUUUCAAUAGGGAGGACAAGGUAUGCGUUAAUACCGUAUACCCGUGACGUUACCUAUAGAAGAAGCACCGGCUAACUCCGUGCCAGCAGCCGCGGUAAUACGGAGGGUGCAAGCGUUAAUCGGAAUUACUGGGCGUAAAGCGCGCGUAGGCGGUUUAUUAAGUCAGAUGUGAAAGCCCCGGGCUUAACCUGGGAACUGCAUUUGAGACUGGUAGGCUAGAGUGUGGUAGAGGUGAGUGGAAUUUCAGGUGUAGCGGUGAAAUGCGUAGAGAUCUGAAGGAACAUCAGUGGCGAAGGCGACUCACUGGGCCAUCACUGACGCUGAGGUGCGAAAGCGUGGGUAGCAAACAGGAUUAGAUACCCU